UAACCACAAGAGUCCAGAACUGGAUUUUCG
rnacentral:piRNA from 1 species